UUCUUUGUCCUCUUACAGUUAUCUUUGUCCUCUUACAGUUAUGGCUAUCAUCACAAUAGGACCUUGUUUGUAACGAUAAGGGUUUCAGAGGAAAAAAAAAAAAAAAAAAAAGGAACGCCUUAAAUCUCGCCGGAAAUCGCAGGAUUUUCGGUGAGGCAUGCCUUGUCAACAAGGGCAUAUUAAUUCCUUGAGUGCCCAUGUUAAACCCUAGCUACCUUAGUAGCCGUCCUUUCUUUUUGAGCUAUAUCGUACCUGUGAGGGAGGAGACGAAAGGUUUAGGUGAGGAAUCGAAAACGUCUCGAGACUUCAGACUUUGUGAGUCCUUAGAUAGGAGCAAACCGGCGCCAGGGUACGUCGGGCAAGGAGGGACAGACGCGCCACCAGAGACAAACGGACGGACGACGACCAUUCCACCGACGACAGUAGUCGAGUUCUUUGAUUAGGGUUGUCGAGGCUUUCGGGCGAGGAAGACGAAGCGGCGGCCGCGGGUUGACCCUUCGACAUUCCGCGAGUUCGUCUCGGUCAGCGUACAGGCCGCACCUCGCGGGCCGCGCUGGAACACCACCAUUGGGCCUCGUUCCCUUUCGGCCCAACCCAGAGACGCAUCCAGGAACCCUAUGCCGUCAAUGUCCUUCGCAGCGGAGUUUCGGCGUUGUCGGCGGCUUCGUUGCACUCCCGGCUCGGCUAGGUCGGCUUGGUGUUGCGGCUUAGCAGGCUGGACAUACGUAUAAUAUAUCGAUUCCUAGGUAUUUGACCCUUCUGAAGCCAUUCCCACCCUUGUUUCAACCGUCUGAGGAGGUAGUUAGGCGUCGGGGUUAGCGUGGUGAGUGACUUCGGCCAAGGCCAAAGGGGUAAGGGCAAGGCUCUCAUGUACGGCUGACGGUGGAUGCUGCGAAGGCCAUGGAAAUCUUGAGGAGAGUUUGUAGUGUCGUAGGCACUUGUUGGAUUCUUUUGGGUUCAUAGUUAUUGCAAUUGUUCCCUCUAGUUCUCUGUUGAUUAUUUCUAAGCUAGGUUGUCGUUAUUGAUUUCCCCAGG